ensembl:lncRNA
CCCCCCCCCCCCCCCCCACAUGCUCCUGUCUGGCUGAUUUACUUAUUUCCGAAAUUCCCUCCGACUGUGAAGGGAUGAUGACACGUACACGGGGAGAAUUUGGCCAAAUUGCCUUCAGCUUGGCCACAUCGCGGCCGUCUGAGCCGCCCGACUGCCACGCGAGGCCCGAAAACACAUGUUAUCUCUCGCUAAUCAAGAGCAAUGGCCUCAAUGUCGAGCCGCCGCACGGCUCUGACCUUUCCACAAUGCUAAUUAUUCUGGAUUUUCUCUCCUUUUCCUCGUGCUCCUUCCCCAGAAGAAGAAAGAAAUGUGAAGCGGCGCAGCGCCAGUCAAUUCCACGGAGGCCGAGUCGUACAUCAUCUUUUGAGUGUAUGGAUUUCUAAUAUCCCGCUACAGCAGUCGAGAUGAUGUAACAGAUAUGGACUCUGAGCACUUACCAAAUAGAUUCCUUAAGGAUAUUCAAAGUGGCUGCAGAGAGACGUUUGAUCAGACUAUUAAAAUGGAUCACCUCAUACACCUUGAAGUGUACUGUGAAAUAUCAAAAGCCCCGCUGGGGGUAAUUAAGGACAUUACGGCGUCCGUUGGUGACCAGUGGAAAGAAGAAUGAAAAACGACUGCUGUUUCUCCUGUUUACACACAAAUGAGUCAAAUCACAGCGACGGAGCUCACGAAAGACGUCUCGACCACUCGUUGGUCCAGGGUUCCCUGGUCCAUGGUUCACUGGUCCAUGGUUCACUGGUCCAUGGUUCACUGGUCCAGGGUUCCCUGGUCCUGUGGUUCCCUGGUCCUGUGGUUCACUGGUCCAUGGUUCACUGGUCCUGUGGUUCCCUGGUCCAUGGUUCACUGGUCCAUGGUUCACUGGUCCAUGGUUCACUGGUCCGUGGUUCACUGGUCCAUGGUUCACUGGUCCUGUGGUUCACUGGUCCAGGGUUCACUGGUCCAUGGUUCACUGGUCCAUAGAUCACUGGUCCAUGGUCCACUGGUCCAGGGUUCACUGGUCCAGGGUUCACUGGUCCUGUGGUUCACUGGUCCAGGGUUCACUGGUCCUGUGGUUCACUGGUCCAUAGAUCACUGGUCCAUGGUCCACUGGUCCAGGGUUCACUGGUCCAGGGUUCACUGGUCCAGGGUUCACUGGUCCUGUGGUUCACUGGUACAGGGUUCACUGGUCCAUGGUUCACUGGUCCAUAGAUCACUGGUCCAUGGUUCACUGGUCCAGGGUUCACUGGUCCAGGGUUCACUGGUCCUGUGGUUCACUGGUCCAGGGUUCACUGGUCCUGUGGUUCACUGGUCCAGGGUUCACUGGUCCAUGGUUCACUGGUCCAUAGAUCACUGGUCCAUGGUCCACUGGUCCAGGGUUCACUGGUCCAGGGUUCACUGGUCCUGUGGUUCACUGGUCCAGGGUUCACUGGUCCUGUGGUUCACUGGUCCAUAGAUCACUGGUCCAUGGUCCACUGGUCCAGGGUUCACUGGUCCAGGGUUCACUGGUCCAGGGUUCACUGGUCCAGGGUUCACUGGUCCUGUGGUUCACUGGUCCAGGGUUCACUGGUCCUGUGGUUCACUGGUCCUGUGGUUCAUUGGUCCUGUGGUUCACUGGUCAAAGCACAAUUAUUAUUACUAACUGACAAUCACACAUAAUGAAAAGUUGAGGCACAUUUUUCAAGCCAAUCGAACCCAAACGGUUCUUAACUUCCUGCUCAUCUACGGGGUAAAAACAGACUUUCCACACGAAGCAGAGACACUUAACCUGCAGACAGAAACAGGAGAGUAUUGAUCGUGACAGCUCCAUCACACUCACAUGCUCAGGGUGGGGGAGGGGGGAGGAGGCACCAC